rnacentral:rRNA from 1 species
UACGUAGGGUGCUAGCGUUAAUCGGAAUUACUGGGCGUAAAGCGUGCGCAGGCGGGUUUUUAAGUCUGGCGUGAAAUCCCCGGGCUCAACCUGGGAAUUGCGUUGGAGACUGCAAGGCUAGAAUAUGGCAGAGGGGGGUAGAAUUCCACGUGUAGCAGUGAAAUGCGUAGAGAUGUGGAGGAACACCGAUGGCGAAGGCAGCCCCCUGGGUCAAGAUUGACGCUCAGGCACGAAAGCGUGGGGAGCAAACAGG